AGUGAACGCUGGCGGUAGGCCUAACACAUGCAAGUCGAACGGCAGCACAGUAAGAGCUUGCUCUUACGGGUGGCGAGUGGCGGACGGGUGAGGAAUACAUCGGAAUCUACUUUUUCGUGGGGGAUAACGUAGGGAAACUUACGCUAAUACCGCAUACGACCUACGGGUGAAAGCAGGGGAUCUUCGGACCUUGCGCGAUUGAAUGAGCCGAUGUCGGAUUAGCUAGUUGGCGGGGUAAAGGCCCACCAAGGCGACGAUCCGUAGCUGGUCUGAGAGGAUGAUCAGCCACACUGGAACUGAGACACGGUCCAGACUCCUACGGGAGGCAGCAGUGGGGAAUAUUGGACAAUGGGCGCAAGCCUGAUCCAGCCAUACCGCGUGGGUGAAGAAGGCCUUCGGGUUGUAAAGCCCUUUUGUUGGGAAAGAAAAGCAGCAGGUUAAUACCCCGCUGUUCUGACGGUACCCAAAGAAUAAGCACCCGCUAACUUCGUG
rnacentral:rRNA from 1 species